AUAAGACGAGCAAAAAGC
rnacentral:miRNA from 1 species